rnacentral:SRP_RNA from 1 species
GCCAGGUGUGGUGGUGGGCACCUGUAAUCCCAGCUACUUGGGAGGCUGAGGCAGGAGAAUCACUUGAACCCGGGAGGUGGAGGCUGCAGUGAGCUGAGAUCACGCCACUGCACUCCAGCCUGGGCAACAGAGUGAGACUCUGUCUCAA